UGGGGAAUAUUGCACAAUGGGCGCAAGCCUGAUGCAGCCAUGCCGCGUGUGUGAAGAAGGCCUUCGGGUUGUAAAGCACUUUCAGCGAGGAGGAAGGUGGUGGACUUAAUACGUUCAUCAAUUGACGUUACUCGCAGAAGAAGCACCGGCUAACUCCGUGCCAGCAGCCGCGGUAAUACGGAGGGUGCAAGCGUUAAUCGGAAUUACUGGGCGUAAAGCGCACGCAGGCGGUUUGUUAAGUCAGAUGUGAAAUCCCCGGGCUCAACCUGGGAACUGCAUUUGAAACUGGCAAGCUAGAGUCUCGUAGAGGGGGUAGAAUUCCAGGUGUAGCGGUGAAAUGCGUAGAGAUCUGGAGGAAUACCGGUGGCGAAGGCGGCCCCCUGGACGAAGACUGACGCUCAGGUGCGAAAGCGUGGGGAGCAAACAGGAUUAGAUACCCCUGGUAGUCCACGCUGUAAACGAUGUCGAUUUUGGAGGUUGUCGCCCUUGAGGCGUGGCUUCCGGAGCUAACGCGUUAAA
rnacentral:rRNA from 1 species